AGUGUUUUGCCUGAAUUGGUGUUUCUGCACCAGGAAUCUGCCUGGUGUGUGCAAAGGCCAGAAGAAGGCAAAAGAGGGUGUCAGGUGCCCUGAACCAGGAGUUAUCGCAUGGGUGUUGGGAAUCGAACCAGGGGCCUUUGAAGAGCAGCCAGGGCUGUUAAAUGCUGAGCCAUCUCUGAAACCAUAGUUCAAGACUUCGUGAUGAACAACUGUCUCCAGGCUACAACAAAAGGAAAGGGCAAGUUUGCAAAGAAGAAAUAGAAAAACUGAACAGAUAUUCAACACCACUGACUGGGGAAACACAAAGAAACUUUUGCCUCAAAUUGGCAAAAAAUGUGCAUGAUCAGACACUGUCAGGAGUAAAGGGGAACCCUAUUAACUACUUCUGAAAGUAUAAACUGCGGGUUAUUUUGUAGUGCUUUCGGUGGUCUCUGUCUGCACCUCAGGUUGCAGGAUUCCUAUGCACUUGCUUCUGAUUCCUGACUUUGCAUCUAUGUCACACGUGCAGCUUGCAGUCAGCCGUGGAGGAAGAGCUUCACACCAAGGCGAUUAACAAGAGCUACAGCCACCCCCACUGAUUUGCGGAAGACAGGUGUUAGCAUCUGUCAGCAUCUCGGGGCAGGAAAAGUUCGUAAUCCAUGCUCUACUCUGUCUCUGAGAUAUCAUCUAAAGUUUCAUGCAUUCAAACUUGGUCCACAGCUGGCUGGGCACCCCAGGAAGGGGGUAGAACCUUUAAGGGGCCACAGGGAAAGUGCUCCUAAAGUAGAUUGUGUGACCCCAGAGUACUCGCCAGCUUUCUGUCACUGUGACAAAAUGCCCAAGACAAUCAACACAUAAGGAGGAGAGGCUUAGCUUAGCUUGUGGUUCCACAAGCUGAUAGCUGCUUGGUUCUGUUGCCCGUUGUGAGGAAGCCAGACAUGGAGGGGGUUAUUUACUUCAUAGAAUCGGAGGAGCAGAGAGAGAGGAAGGGGCCAGGGUCCAAUAUCACAGGCAUGUUCUGUCACAGUUAGCCUCCUCAUGAAGCACUUAGAACCAUGCACAGUUAAUUGGCUAGACUUCCAGGUGCAAAAUAGGUGUGGCAUUUGAGCCACAAGGAAUGGCACAGCUGUGGUUCUCGUGGUAACCGCUUCUCUCUGAGGGCUUACUCAAGGCAACAGGGACUUGCUGGGUCUUGCCUAUCCACAGGUUCCUGUGUUUCACCCCAAGGGAUUGAAAGUUGAUUCUCUAAGGAUUGGGUUGAAGGCUUCUCCAGCUCUUGAGGGAUCUUAGAACCGAAUCCCUUGGCUUUUUGCUCACUUCUUCUCGGCGUGUGCAGGGAAAGAAGGUGCUGAUUGCUGGCGCUUGCACUCCCUCUCCUCAUUUUGAAAUGAUGUACACAAGCAUUGCUCAAAGGGUAGCAUCCCUGUAUCUCUAGAAGGGAGGGAAUGGCCCUGCAGGCUUUCUCAGGUGGCCAGAUUAGCUGUCGGUCUUUAACUUCUGAUACUGCAGAAGACGUUCUCCCUAAAUUUCCUCUUCAUCUCAGGUGUGGUACAACGUUCAGAAAAUAGCCACAUCUGUGGUUUAGAUUGAUCCUAGAUUAACCUGUGAGACGGUUGGCUCAUAGGGGUCAAAGGGUACUCAGGAAAGAUCUCCCCUUUGCUUUCCCUCCAUAGCCACUGAGCUAAAUCCCCACCUGCUUCAGUGACCUUCUAGGUCGGUGUGGGCCAUCUGCUCUGGGAAAGUUUGGGGGCUUCAUCCGACCCAAAAGCCGGAGUCAGUUGGCUCCAGGGAAGGAAGCAAUGUUACACAGCCUGAUUGCCUUUCUGUACCGUUACUGCUGCUAUUGGUAAGUGUCAACCGACUGAGGGAAGUUCUGUUUUACAUGGAGUAGCGACCUUCACAACUGAAUUCCACCUUGAGGCAAGGAUCAGGAAGGAGUUUGUCUUUGGAGUCAGGGUCUCCCAUGAACCCAGGCUGGCCCGGAACUUCCUACACAGCUGUAGAACGUUUGGACGUCAGACUCUCCUACCUAAACAUCCUGAUUGUAAUGCUGCGAUAACAGUGUGAGCCACCAUGACUCAUGGAGGUGGGUUUUUUUGUUUGUUUGUUUGUUUUUUAAGAUCAAUUACUCCUUCCAGAAAUUGGCAUGGGAGUUUUAGACAUGAAUCUCUCACCAGCUAGCAUUAGUUCCAUUCUGUACGAUCCCUCCUUUUGGAGGCAGGCCUUGGCAGUUCUCUUCAGGAAGGAGGUAAGAACUUACUGGAAGAAUACCUUCCUUGCCAGGCAGGCUGAAAAGAUCUCGUAGCUCCAUGAAGGCAGCCAUAGAGUUGCCUCAGGUCUCCUCCCCAGAGAGGUCUCAAGCCCCGGGGGUUCACUCAGGUGCGUAGCUCCACUGUUAGCGGCUGCGUAUUCUCUUAGCCCGUUCUGUUUAGCUUUGUUUGGCUUCCAUGGGAACACAACUGUUUCUUUUCUCAGACCUCCCCUUAUAACAGCUUGUCACCAACCCCGGAGCCUCAUGCUGAGCCGAAUUUGAUGCACACAGAUCUGUAAACAUCCAUCAGGGGCAAAGGAGCCCCUUUCAUGAAGAUGGUGACCCCAUUCACUGCAGGGAAUGCACGCCUUUCUUACCUCAAGACCCAAAGACAUCAUUUCCACUUGAAGUCAGCUUCUUUGCCCCAGCUGUCCUCAGAUGUCCUACUGUUAAAACUUUGGUUAAAGUCUUUCCUGAAGAUCUGGAUAAGGGUGUGGCCAGCUCUUCAUUAGGGUUGCCUAACCUAGGUAUGUGCAAGCUCUUAGCUCUGAUUCCCAGAACAGAAAAACAGUCAAACCAUCCAUCAGUCAUUAAUCAGCCUGUCUACCUCCCUCGCUUCUGAAUCAAGCAUGGUGGUGUAUGCUUGUUUUCCCAGACUUGAGAGGCAGAUGGCCAGCUCAAGACCUGGGUUACGUAGUGAGACCCUUUCGAAAUCAGCCUCUCCGGGUGUCGUCUCUGAAGCUCGAGCAGCGGCUGUAGCUUUCACUACACGGUCCACCAUGUCUGUGAAUGCUUCAUGUUACGGUUUGGUUCCCAGAAGAUGGUUCCUACCAGGCCCAGCAGCAGCAGCAAACACAGGGUAAACAUGUGACCAGAAAGAGGUGCAUUGAUGUUGGGAGAGUUCGGCAAGCAAA
rnacentral:sRNA from 1 species